rnacentral:sRNA from 2 species
CACCCAUUCUUUGCCGCCUUCUCCAUCCAGUAGGGGACCAUCAGCGCAGAAAUCAACGGACUGGAGAUUUCAGCGCCGUUGAUUCUCCUUGCCCGUGUGGAUAGGACUAAAUAAUGGACAGCCACCAACUGUGCUGCUACGGACCGGACGGGACCUAAGAGAAGGCCAGCUAAGGUUCCCGAGGCACUGAGUGCCCCUCAAAAUGUCAAACAAAAAAGGAAGCUAAGCCAUUUAAAGAAAUAGGCGAUGGGGUUUAAUUCGAUUUGUAAUUUCUCGGAGGCUUUCAUGGUGGUCGUUGCUGGAAAAGAAUGGCCUGAGGGCAUUUCAUCAUGGAAAAUAUAACUUUAGUCUAACUCGAGGUCGGAGGUUGCAUUAUGUCCCGUCGGAAAAAUAGCAGGAAAACGAAAAUUGAAAAUAAAAUCUUCUAGAGGUAUUUAGCUGAUCUUCAUUCACAUCCUGGUUAUAACCUAGCCAGCAGUUUCAGAUGUGAUUAUUAAAAAGCAAGCCGGGAAUAUCUCCGAAUUCCAGCGCGUGAGUGUGUUUGUAACUCUCUGGCACUGGUGGGAAAACUGAGUAUUGAAGGCCAACAAGCCCACCCACACAACUGCUAGAACACUUUGUUCAUUUGUUGUUGAUCUAAUUAGCAGGAGUACUCUCUUAAGUCAACAUGGGUAUUGUAAGUUAGAGUUAUAGCAAAAGAAACCUCCUUAGAACUUAUCUCAAAAGAGCCCCUGAUAGAAAUGAGUUCCUUCAUUGGAAAAUCCUCAUAUUAUUAGGGGGAAAAGGGUUCCGGGGGCCGGCACCUUGUGUGGGUUCUUGACUGGAUGAAACUGAAUAGAGCUAUAUGGAGUAAGAUAGAAUUAGCUGACCAGGCCACAUUGAAAUUUGCUCCCCUUUCUGUUUCAAUUAAGUCAGGUUUCUGCUGAAGCAACAAUCAAGGGAAUUUGUUUUCGAAGCUAAGAGAGCUCAAAGCUCAAACAGCAACAAAGUUAGAUAAAACCCUGUAGAAAAAACAUCACAACACAGUUUGACAUGGGUGAUGGAGAACCCCAUUUUGUUUUUCUUUAAUAUCUACAGCACUUUUAUCUUGUACAGUACAAAUGUGAUGCUACUGCAUUGUGACAAUGAACACU